rnacentral:tRNA from 1 species
GCCCGAGUGGUGAAAUAGGUAGACACAUCGGACUUAAAAUCCGCCGCUUCCAGAAAUGGGGCGUACCAGUUCGAUUCUGGUCUCGGGCACCA